UACGGAGGGGGCGAGCGUUGUCCGAAGUUACUGGGCGUAAAGCGCGCGUAGGCGGGUCAACAGGUCCGCUGUGAAAGCCCGAGGCUUAACCUCGGCGGGUCGGGUGGAUACUGUUGGUCUUGAAGGUGCUAGGGGGAGAUGGAAUGACCGGUGUAGCGGUGAAAUGCGUAGAGUAUCGGUCGGAACACCAGUUGGCGAAGGCGGUCUCCUGGGGCAUUCU
rnacentral:rRNA from 1 species